CGGGACGGGUAAGUAACGCGUGGAUAACCUGCCUCACACUGGGGGAUAACAGUUAGAAAUGACUGCUAAUACCGCAUAAGCGCACAGUACCGCAUGGUACAGUGUGAAAAACUCCGGUGGUGUGAGAUGGAUCCGCGUCUGAUUAGCCAGUUGGCGGGGUAACGGCCCACCAAAGCGACGAUCAGUAGCCGACCUGAGAGGGUGACCGGCCACAUUGGGACUGAGACACGGCCCAA
rnacentral:rRNA from 1 species